UACGUAGGGGGCGAGCGUUGUCCGGAUUUAUUGGGCGUAAAGAGCUCGUAGGCGGCUGUUCGAGUCGGGUGUGAAAUCCUGAGGCUUAACCUUGGGUCUGCAUUCGAUACUGGGCGGCUUGAGUCUGGUAGGGGGAUCUGGAAUUCCUGGUGUAGCGGUGGAAUGCGCAGAUAUCAGGAGGAACACCGGUGGCGAAGGCGGCUCUCUGGGACGGUACUGACGCUGAGACGCGAAAGCGUGGGGAGCGAACAGG
rnacentral:rRNA from 1 species